AUUGAACGCUGGCGGCAGGCCUAACACAUGCAAGUCGAACGAGUGGCGGACGGGUGAGUAAUGUCUGGGAAACUGCCUGAUGGAGGGGGAUAACUACUGGAAACGGUAGCUAAUACCGCAUACCAUCGGAUGUGCCCAGAUGGGAUGAGCUAGUAGGUUGGGUAACGGCUCACCUAGGCGACGAACCCUAGCUGGUCUGAGAGGAUGACCAGCCACACUGGAACUGAGACCCGGUCCAGACUCCGACGGGAGGCAGCAGUGGGAAAUAUUGCACAAUUGGCGCAAGCCUGAUGCAGCCAUGCCGCGUGUAUGAAGAAGGCCUUCGGGUUGUAAAGUACUUUCAGCGGGGAGGCGUUACCCGCAGAAGAAGCACCGGCUAACUCCGUGCCAGCAGCCGCGGUAAUUC
rnacentral:rRNA from 1 species